UCAUUCGUAUUUAACAUCAGCGCCAGAAGUCGCAAUGACUUUUCUAUCACGUCUAAUACGACAAGUAGGUUUUAUUCCCUAACUGCUAAAGGACAACUGCACAAUGAGAGCCUUCUUUGCUUUUUGCAUCGUAAUGAUAUGUUUGUCGGGUUUGGAACAUCCUGUUGCUGCUGUUAAAUGCUUCCAAAGUUAUUGUAGAAAUAGAUCUGACUGCAGAGAGGGGUGUAACGACAUUGGUUGUUUCACAAAACUUUCCUGCAAUGUCGAAAGAGGGCGAUGCUGCUGUGAUGGUUGUAUCUCCAAUUAAUAAACUGGAAAAUUCAGAACUUAAAAUUUUGAACAGUGUCGAGACUGCGUUUAUGCAUGCAUAUUAAAUUAUUACAUUAGUCUACGCUCUGAAUUACAAAAUGUUUCUGGCACUUUGAUUGGUAGUUUUAUUAAUUGUUACCCAUCAUCAUUGAUUACAAUAUUUGAACAUUUCA